rnacentral:rRNA from 1 species
AUUGAACGCUGGCGGCAGGCCUAACACAUGCAAGUCGAGCGGAUGAAGGGAGCUUGCUCCUGGAUUCAGCGGCGGACGGGUGAGUAAUGCCUAGGAAUCUGCCUGGUAGUGGGGGAUAACGUCCGGAAACGGGCGCUAAUACCGCAUACGUCCUGAGGGAGAAAGUGGGGGAUCUUCGGACCUCACGCUACCAGAUGAGCCUAGGUCGGAUUAGCUAGUUGGUGGGGUAAAGGCCUACCAAGGCGACGAUCCGUAACUGGUCUGAGAGGAUGAUCAGUCACACUGGAACUGAGACACGGUCCAGACUCCUACGGGAGGCAGCAGUGGGGAAUAUUGGACAAUGGGCGAAAGCCUGAUCCAGCCAUGCCGCGUGUGUGAAGAAGGUCUUCGGAUUGUAAAGCACUUUAAGUUGGGAGGAAGGGCAGUAAGUUAAUACCUUGCUGUUUUGACGUUACCAACAGAAUAAGCACCGGCUAACUUU